rnacentral:piRNA from 1 species
UGGGAUCCAUGGUGAUCUGAGAAUAGGGA